AUAAUAAAUUAGAAACUUAAAAUUUAAAAUUUAAAUUUUGACAAUUCAAGAAUUUGAGUUAAAAUUUUAAAAAUAAUGUAUUGAAAGAAUUUGGGAGAUUGGAGGGGUAAAUUUAUAAUUUUACAUAAUAUGUAAAAUAACGUGCAAUUAGUAAUACGACAUGCCCAUCUCCCCACUCAGUAAUAUUUUCAGAAUAAUUAUGUAUCAUUUGUAAUGCUACAUUACCGAAGAGAUUACAAACUAAAUGAACCAAACGCAACAAUUUUGGCAUGAUUGCAUGUAAUCCUGACAGGAUAAUCCGAACCAAACACACUAAAAGAUAAUUUUGGAGUAGACUAUACUUUAUUCUUAGGAUUGCUGAAUGUUAUAAAAUGAGUCAAAUAUAGUAAUUCGAUAUACACUCUAUAUUAAACAAAACACGGUAAUGCAACGUCAAUAUUAAUCCGAUUCAAAAAUCUCAAAUAUCUACUACAUAAUGCAAACAGUAUAUCUUACAUCUUCACCACAAAAUAUAAUUCUUUUACACUAGUUAUUUUACUGUAUAUUUUUUACUACUAAACAUCUAAAAUGAUGCAUCCGAUCUCUUGGAUAGUGAAAUGUGAGAGAUCUAUUUUCUAUAUAUAUACAUAUAUAGGGUCCGGCUACUAUACUAUUAUGAGUACGAUCGCCCUCGUACUCAUAAGUUGUUUUCGAUGAUAGAGCUUCCGAAUCGACGAUCCACACCGUUAAACGUUAUUUACAGCAUUUAAAACUGCUAGAAAUUAAAUUUUAUAAUUUUUCGACAUCAUUUACCUUACGAUCAAGAGGUCACCAAUUUGACAAUUUUUAACGGCCGGUAUGGGAUACUUGCUAGUUUAACGGUGUAAAAGAAUCGGAAUUUGUUGAAUUUUUGGUAGAAAAUUCUAUUCACUACAUAGAUAAAGAUCAAUAACUCCGAUCUUGAAUUGAAGAAUCCGAUCAUCCUUUUUUAGAACGUCGUUCGAUUUUGACCGUUCAUUUUAUGCCCACUUGAUGGACU
rnacentral:lncRNA from 1 species